UGAUUGAUGAUGAGAACAAGUCUCUGAAUUCUGUGAUGGACUUAUACAAAUGGCAAUCUGAGGUCC
rfam:Mesocricetus auratus contig197534, whole genome shotgun sequence.